UUCUCCUACUUUCCAGGCAGA
rnacentral:piRNA from 1 species